AGAGUUACAUGUUAUAUUUGUUAAGGGUUAGUAUUCGUUAGAUUUUUAAUUACAAUCAGAUUGGGAAAUACGCCUUAGACUGUUGGGGAAAACCACAACGAAAAAUCCGAUUGUGAUUAAAAUCUAGCUAGUUUUAAGAUGAAAAUAAAUAAAUCAACUCACAGAUAAAUGCAAAUAUCCAAAUAAAAAAUUAAUCUUAUCCGGAAGCAUGCGAGGCACUGUCCUAAGGCGUAUUUUUGUCCUUACGUGCGUGAAUUAAUCGGGAAUAACACCCCAAGGUACGACUAGUAUUUCUUUUCCUGCGAGCAUGAUCGUGAAGGAGGUUGAUGGAGACUUUUUUAAUGCCCGAUGACAAAAGGAACAAAUCAAAUAGAUCAAAAACAAUUGAAGAAAAUUAAAUAACUCUUUGU
rnacentral:lncRNA from 1 species